ACACCGUUCCCGUAGGAUCACCGAAGUUAAGCAACGUUGAGCUUGGUCAGUACCUAGAUGGGUGACCGCUUGGAAAUACUAGGUGUUGUAUG